AUCAAUAACCGAUAGCAAAUUUCCAAUUUCUUUUGUUUUCCUUUUUCUUUUUUUACUAUUAUUUUAACGGCGAUGACGAUGAAGAUGACAAUCGCUUACGUUUACUGCUCUCACUGUCUCCACUAUUCCAAAGCAGCCAUUGAAGCUAACUUCUUUUCUUGUUCGAGUUGUGGAAAAUUGGUAAGCGAGGUCAAUGUGAAGGGAAAUCCAGAUUCGGUUGUAAAGAAGAAAUCCAAAUUUCCAAGGUUUAAAAGAACCAAAAAGAACUCCAUGAAAAUUAAAGGUGAGUUGCUUCUUGGAUCAGAUGAGAAAAAAGAUUGAAGAAGAAAAACAACUCAGUUCUUUAGGUUAUUAAUUUUUGGAGAAUAUUGGUUUGUUUUUUUAAAUAAUAAUAUUAUUAUUUUUGUUCUUUAA